CCUCUGAAAUGUUGGUUAGCAUCGACCAGACUACACAGCGCAACAACCCAGAAAUCUUCAAGAAUUGAAGGAUUACUUCGGAGACAGUAAAAGUAAUUUUCAUGGUAUCACCAGGACAUGACAUGCCUGGGUCAUGGAUAGUGGAGAAGGGCAUCCAGAUGUGCAGCGUAGUUGUGUGAAUUCAUGUGCAAGAGGUCCCUUUCCAUCAGCCCAUCUGUCAUCAAUGUCUCUCAGACUAGCCCCCAAAAUGAGAACCAGUUCUCUGAACUUCUGCCAUCUUCUUACAAACUGAUGCACUUCGCUGGGUUCCUAAGAGAAACAGUUUUGCAGUACACUAUGGCAGGCAGAACAUCCUUCCAAACUGUCUGGAGUAAUUCCAGCUGCCGCAAACAUUGUUGAACAGCUCUCUCUAUGCUUGGUGUAAUGUUUGGAUCCUCUCCAAGUGUUGCUAAACCUGUACAAAUGUCAAAAUGCUUUGUGUCCACCGAUUCUUCUUUUACUAGCUCCACUGAUGGAAUCUGCCAAGAAAAAAUGCCACUUCACUCGACAUAACAUUUUAGUGAUGGACUGGACAAACAUUUGAGUAUUUGCUACUAGGAAAGGGAACUGCAUUUAUCCCUCAACUGGAAUAAUAUAUUCAAACUGGACUGAAAUUUCAGAGAGUAGUGAACUGAUUAUAAUUUCAGUACAAUUGGAUCUGUAUUCUGUUUAAAUUAUAAUAAAAUUGUAUUUAUUCUUCUAGCAUA